rnacentral:rRNA from 1 species
GUUGAACGCUGGCGGCGGGCCUAACACAUGCAAGUCGAGCGGAUAAACGAGGAUUGCGCCUGGCUGACGCUACCGACGGACGGGUGAUUCCUACGUGGCUAACUGGUCUAUAGGGAUGGGAUAACGUCGGGAAACCUGAUCCAACAUCCGUCAAUAUGGAGAAACUGAGGGAUCUUCGGAGCACGCGGUAUCUGCUGACACUAGGUCGGAUUAGCUAGUUGGUGGGGUAAAGGCCUACCAAGGCGACGAUCCGUAACUGACCUGAGAGGCUGAUCAGCCACACUGGAACUGAGACACGGUCCAGACUCCUACGGGAGGCAGCAGUGGGGAAUAUUGGACAAUGGGCGAAAGCCUGAUCCAGCCAUGCCGCGUGUGUGAAGAAGGUCUUCGGAUCGUAAAGCUCUGUAAGUUGGGAGGAAGGGCAGUAAGAUAAUACCUUGCUGUCUUGACGGUACCAACAGAAAAAGCCCCGGCUAACUUCGUG